AAUGGCGAGGAAUUCGCUCCCCCAGGUGGAGGAUCCCGGCGGCGACGAAACUGCGGAAGCCCGAUGUCCCUGGAACGGAAAGCACCUCGGCGGCGCGGAGCGGUAGCUCGGUCUCCCUCGCCGAAGGCGUUGUCUCCUCUGCUUCGCAUCCCAUUCCGUCCAUGAUCCAUCCACGGACCACGGCUUCCUCUUCCUUAGGGUAGCAAAUACUACCACCGUCUACCGCCUACGGGCUAUCCAGGCGACGAGCUUACCAGUUACCACCAAGCACCAAUGCAACGGACAUUUCUGGUCUCCAAUUCCAGUCACUUGCGGCCUCUGAAGGAUGCAAAGUUUAUAUCAUUAUAUGGAUGCUCACUCAAGGUUACUAGUUUUGCUCCAUUUUAUCAGCAAUUGCUAUUGUCAACUUAAGACUGAACUGAACUGAACUAUCUAUCCCGCAAAAAAGAAAAAAAAAAGACUGUACUGAACUAUCUAUGCCGUUUUGGCUCUUAUAUUAUGGGACAGAGGGAGUAAUAAAUAAAAGACGCACUCGAUUUAGCCUCUGCAGAAUUAAUGUUCAAACAUCCAUAGUUCUAAAUUUAUGACAAUGCUCCAGGUAAUAUGCUUUCAGUAAGAGCUAAUCUAAGCAUGCUAUCCAACUUAGGUUCACCAUGAAUAGGUGUUGGGGGGAUUACUUACCUGACAAGUGCAAAUAUCACCAAAAUUGGUGGAAAAGGGGUCGGGAUGUCGAUAACAGUUUCACGGGCAUCUCUUGAACUGGCACUCUGGAGCAGUGAGGCUACCAAUUUCUGGAGGGUGUCCUCAGUGUUGCCCCAAGCAUUUUCAAUGUGCAGCCCUAACAUUGAAGUGCACACUUCUCCUCCCAGUAACAUCAGUAUCAUCAAAACCCAGAGCUGCUGGCCAGAGAAGUCCUCCAUCUCAAGUGUUGCCAUGCUUGACACUGUCACUUUGGACACAGAGGUGAAUGUCAUAUCCAAGUUCCUUGGAGUUAGGUUAAUCAGCAGCACAUGAAUUAAAUUAGCUGGAUUAUCAAAGGACUGCUUACCAGAAACAAGUAACCAGAGCUGAACUGAAUUGAUGCACUGAAGUUUGUGAGCAUUUUUGUUCAGACAUAAAAAUGUUGGGCUUGGCAACUGGAAACUGUUCUCAUGGUGUCUUCUGGGUUAAGUACUCUCCCUUGCAUGCAUUUCUCAACACGAUCAAGUUCUGGAGCUCAAUCUGUAAGAGUGGAGUAAGACAAAUAUUCUCCCCUGCAAGCAUUGUCUAUAAGGGCCCGGUUCCAGGUAUAAUUGACUCAUGGAUUUGCAUGUGCCGCUGUUAUGGAAAUUCCCAACCACUUUAUGUCCUGGUUGAAGGAAUUUUCCGCAAUUAUCAUCCUUCAUUCAUCAGUUUUUGCAUCUGAGGAUAUUGUUGAUUUCAUAUAGCACUUUAUCUUCACAAAGACACCUAAUACUCCAGGUUAAUUUUUUCAGUUAUUAUAUGUCAAUAAUUUACACUGUUCUCACUUUCAGUUAUUAAUUUCAUUUGAUCCUGCAAAGUAACAGUUGCAUUAUUCUGGUUUAGACCAAAAAUGUGUCCUACUUUUUCUAGGAUUAUUCAUUAGUGUACUGUGAAGCUGAAAUUUACCACCCUAUAAAUUUACUACUGCAAAAUUGUGUCUACAAUCUUCUAUAACGCUCCACAGAAGAGACACGGCUGCAAUGAUUGGAACAAAUGCCGAUUCUGAAGCUGGGUUGCAAAAUUUGCAUUCUCUUGAUUAUAUUUGCAGUUGUAAGUGCAGGACCGGAGGUUGGGAUAAAUCGAUGUAGUCAGUCCAUCUAGCAGAAAGCAUCAGACAAGACAAGACUGCAGUAGUUGAAAUAAAUGACCGGUUGUGGAGUUGGGUUGCGACAUUUGCGUUAUCUUAAUUAAUGUUUAGUUACUAGUGUGGGCUGGGAUUUCUGGGAUGAUUUUGGUUGGACAUUUUUACUAUAACUCAACUUCAUGUAUCAGACUCCACUAGCUUCAGACAUUUAUCUUGAUUAUUAUAUAACGUAUCCCCUGCUGUGUGAAGAAAUGUUCAAGCGCACACAAGUGUAGUGGAACUUCCCUUAUCCUCCUUUCCCUUCCUUUUAUUACAACGGUCAACAGACACAAUCUAGUUGCACAUGCGUGUUACUUCUUAUCUCUAAGGUAGCAACAUAAUGCUUUUCCAUGAAGAUUUAUUUGUCUGUGCUACACUUGUAGUCCUAGUAUUGCUUGCCUUCUGACGGGGACAACAAUAAGGAGCAAAUGCAAGAAGGUGGGCAAAGGCAAGAAGAGUGGUGCCAUAGGGAAGACGUAUGUAGCUGCUUGGUCUUCGGUCUCUCGGCCCGUCCUCUUGGAUUAGGUUGUCGUUGUGGUUUGGGGUACCCGAUAUCUUGUGUCGGGAUCACUUUGCGUGGUGGUUGUGUUGGUGAAUUGUUCGUCUGUGGUCUGUUUUAUUGGUUUUCGCCCGGUUUCCCGUGAAUUAACUGGCAAUUCUUUUUUUCUUCUUAAUUAAUCGAUGAGGCAAAACUUUUGCCUUCGUUUAAAAAAAAAACACUUGUAGUCCUAGUUGAGUGCGGUUGGAAGUUCAGUCUGAGUAGGUUUACUAGUUAGGUUUGCUUAUGCAUAUACAGGUUGUGAGUUUGAGAUUGUAACGUGAAAAUGAGUGGAGAAAAAGUAAAGAAAAAAGCACUCAACUAUUCGUGCAGGUGGGGAUGUUCGUUCAUGAGUUUUUUUAUGUGAUCGUUCCGUGGGAGAAACCCAAGAAUAUUUGCAUUCUCUUGGUUAUAUUUUCAAUUAUCAGUGCAGGUGGGGGUGAAUUUAUGUAUUUAGUUAUUCACUUAUUCUAUCUGGCAGAAAGCGCCGCACGAUACAAGACUGCAUUAGUUGAAAUAGAUGACUGGUCGUGAAGUUGGGUUCCAGCAUUUGCAUUGUUUUGUUUAAAUUCUUAGUGACUGCUGGGUUUUUUGGGCUGAUAUUUGUUGGACAUUUUUACUAGAACAUCGGUUUUUGUAUCCUUUUUUUGGCACAAUAGUUUUAUGCAUCAAGCUCCACUAGACUCAGCUAUGUAUCUUCGCUACUAUAUAACGUAUCACAUCCCCUGUUCUGUGAAGAAAUGCAGACACACAAGUGUAGUGGAACUUAUGUUGUCGGACAAUCGACAAUCUAAGCAACCUUUUUCUGUUAUGUUCUUUCAGUGUCGCACAAUCUAAUUGCGCAGGCGUGCUACUUCUUUUUAUCCCUGAGAAAAGUGUGUGGCUAGUGAGGCUGCGAUAAGAUAGUGUUAUAGUGCUUUUCCAUGAAGAAUUAUGGUGGCCUCAGAUCUGUGGCAUGCAGCAGGUUGUUGUAAGAAAUGACUAGCAAACCAUCUCUGUGUGUGAGGAGAAUCAGGUAAAUUUCUACACCUAUAUAUGACUACAGAAAGGUGGAAGGCAAGAAAAAGAAGAAGAGGAAACCAUUCACCAAGAAGAGAGAAGUAGGCGCUGCAUCUAGCUAAGCUUCCA